GACACGGUACGCGAAUUGGUAUAGCGACGAGACUUAAAAUCUCGUGGGACAAUUGUCUGUUGAGGGUUCGACCCCCUCCUGUGUCACUA
rnacentral:tRNA from 1 species